GCAUUGAUGGUUCAGUGGUAGAAUUCUUGCCUUCCAUGCAGGACACCUGGGUUUGAUUCCUGGUCAAUGUA
rnacentral:tRNA from 1 species